CAUUAAGUGACUGAAAUGAAAGUAAUGGUCUCUUAAACCAAAAAAUAGUAUAUUUAUCAAAUACUCUUAAUGA
rnacentral:tRNA from 1 species